rnacentral:pre_miRNA from 1 species
UCACGCCUGUAAUCCCAGCACUUUGGGAGGCCGAGGCGGGUGGAUCACCUGCCUCGGCCUCCCAAAGUGCUGGGAUUACAGGCGUGA